rnacentral:rRNA from 1 species
AGUGGCGAACGGGUGAGUAUUGCACAGGUAACUUGCCCCUAAGACUGGGAUAACUACUUGAAAAGGUAGCUAAUACCGGAUACUCUCGCGAGAUCACAUGAUCUUGCGAGGAAAGUUUUUUCGCUUAGGGAUAGGCCUGUGUCUGAUUAGUUUGUUGGUGGGGUAAUGGCCUACCAAGACUGCGAUCAGUAGCUGGUCUGAGAGGAUGAACAGCCACACUGGGACUGAGACACGGCCCAGACUCCUACGGGAGGCAGCAGUGGGGAAUAUUGCGCAAUGGGCGAAAGCCUGACGCAGCGACGCCGCGUGAGCGACGACGCCCUUCGGGGUGUAAAGCUCUUUCAGUGGGGAAGAUAAUGACGGUACCCACAGAAGAAGUCACGGCUAAUUACGUGCCAGCAGCCGCGGUAAUACGUAAGUGGCAAGCGUUAUCCGGAUUUACUGGGCAUAAAGAGCACGUAGGCGGUACCCUAAGUCAGAUGUUAAAUCUUGCAGCUUAACUGCAAACUGCAUUUGAAACUGGGGUGCUAGAGGUCAGUAGAGGAAAGCGGAACUCAUAGUGUAGCGGUGAAAUGCGUAGAUAUUAUGAGGAACACCAGUGGCGAAGGCGGCUUUCUGGACUGAAUCUGA